rnacentral:lncRNA from 1 species
UCUCAGAGAUCCUCCCAAGAUUACACACACACACACGCACACCACACACCACACACACACCACACACACCACACACACACCACACACACCCAUCACACACACACACCACACACACCCAUCACACACACACCACACACACCACACACACCCAUCACACACACACACCACACACACACACCACACACACCACACACCACACACACACCACACACACCCAUCACACACACACCACACACACCACACACACCACACACACACACCACACACACCCAUCACACACCACACACACCACACACACCACACACACCCAUCACACACCACACACACCACACACACCACACACACACCACACACACACACCACACACACACACCACACACACCACACACACACCACACACACACCACACACACCACACACACCACACACACCACACACACCCAUCACACACACACACCACACACACACCACACACACACACCACACACACCACACACACACACCACACACACCCAUCACACACCACACACACACCACACACACACACCACACACACCCAUCACACACACACCACACACAUACCACACACACACCACACACACCACACACACCACACACACCCCACACACCACACACACCACACACACACCACACACCACACCACACACACACACCACACACACCACACACACACCACACACCACACACACCACACACACCACACACACACCACACACACACACCACACACACCACACACACACCACACACACCACACACACACCACACAAACACCACACACACACCACACACACCACACACACACCACACACACACCACACACACCCAUCCACACACACCACACACACCCAUCACACACACACACCACACCACACACCACACACACCACACACACACCACACACACACCACACACACCACACACACACCACACACACCACACACACACCACACACACCCAUCACACACACACCACACACACCACACACACACCACACACACACACCACACACACACCACACACACACACCACACACACCCAUCACACACACACCACACAUACCCAUCACACACACCACACACACACCACACACACCACACACACACCCAUCACACACCACACACACCACACACACACCACACACACCACACACACACCACACACACCACACACACACACCACACACACACCACACACACACACCACACACACCACACACACCACACACACACACCACACACACACACACCAUACACACCAUACACACACACACCACACACACACACACAAAACAGAACUUCCCUGGGAAACGCAUGGAGAUUAUUUCCUGACAGAGAAAGUUUUUGACCAGCUACCUGCUAGUACUGACCAUAACUCUAUACACUAG